GAUGAACGCUGGCGGCGUGCCUAAUACAUGCAAGUCGAGCGAACGGACGAGAAGCUUGCUUCUCUGAUGUUAGCGGCGGACGGGUGAGUCACACGUGGAUAACCUACCUAUAAGACUGUGAAAACUUUGGGAAACCGGAGCUAAUACCGGAUAAUAUUUUGAACCGCAUUGUUCAAAAGUGAAAGAAGGUCUUGCUGUCACUUAUAGAUGGAUCCGCGCUGCAUUAGCUAGUUGGUAAGGUAACGGCUUACCAAGGCAACGAUGCAUAGCCGACCUGAGAGGGUGAUCGGCCACACUGGAACUGAGACACGGUCCAGACUCCUACGGGAGGCAGCAGUAGGGAAUCUUCCGCAAUGGGCGAGAGCCUGACGGAGCAACGCCGCGUGAGUGAUGAAGGUCUUCGGAUCGUAAAACUCUGUUAUUAGUGAAGAACAUAUGUGUAAGUAACUGAGCACAUCUUGACGGUACCUAAUCAGAAAGCCACGGCUAACUACGUG
rnacentral:rRNA from 1 species